rnacentral:rRNA from 1 species
AUACGGAGGGUGCAAGCGUUGUCCGGAAUCACUGGGCGUAAAGCGCACGUAGGCGGUCUUGUAAGUCAUCUGUGAAAUCCCGGAGCUCAACUCCGGGCCUGCAGUUGAUACUGCAUGACUAGAGCUCGGUAGAGGCGAGUGGAACUCCCGGUGUAGCGGUGGAAUGCGUAGAUAUCGGGAGGAACACCAGUGGCGAAGGCGGCUCGCUGGGCCGUUGCUGACGCUGAGGUGCGAAAGCGUGGGGAGCAAACAGGAUUAGAUACCCCAGUAGUCC